rnacentral:lncRNA from 1 species
CAACUGCCUCACAAGCAUCCCAGAGUCCAGUCAGCAGACAGCAGAAGAGACUGUCAGCAGACCACCUUGGAGGGGAUGCUUGGAGCUGCCUAACGUGUGAUUCAAAGAUGAAUUCCAUGUGUUUGGAGAAGAAGCCCUAGCCUCAACACAAAGGUUGGCCACAUUCCAGCCAAGGUAGCACGGAGUGAAGGCCCGUGGAGGGAGAGCUGGGCUUUUCUGAACUACUUCAGUACACCUUGCUGUGCCUUGGCCUGCCGUGUUUCAUCCCCAUGGCUGUCCUCAGUGAUGUGCAUGGUCACUGCUCCCUUCACCACUGAGAAGACGGGCACAGGACAGUCAGGGGAUGUGUCCAAGGUCCCACAGCAGGAAGGGCUGGAGCCAGAAUGUGGUCUGAGAGGCUGGAUAUACAAAGAGACAAUGGCAUGACCAUCUGUACAAAUGGAACUAUGGCCCACAACCUGCAGCAGCCAGCCCAGGAAGCCAACCCGUCACCUGCAGCAGCCAGGAUGGAUGCUGGCCUGCCCUCGGAGUCUGAGAGACUCUCCUGCCCCACAGUGUGGGCUCCACCACCCUCCUGCCUGCUGUGGGAAAUCAGGAGGGUGAAGGUGAAGCUGGACUUGGCCCAGAGGUGCCCACAGGGACGCCCAGAGCUGCACAAGCUCCCUCCAUCUUGCCUCUGGGACCAGCUCUGCAUUGCUCCAAAGCCCUCAUCAGUGUCUGCUUUCUGUUGCAAUAACUGAAUACCUGAGAUUGGACAAUUUAUAAAGAAAAAAAUUAUAUCUGAGGGUGCCCUUGUUGGAGAACAUGGGGGGCCAAAUUCCAAACGUGGCAAGAGAUAACAAAUGACUUGUCUGGUGGCUGAACCCUGAGCUGGGAGCACUGCCUGGAGAAAACGCUGAUACUCAAGUCUAGUUUUAUAUGGCUCCAAACGCCUCCACCAUGAGCUCAAGGCAGUGAGACUGACUGAAAAACCCUCUCUAUUACAGACCACAACAUUGAACCCAACAUCCCCCUAAGUAGGUUGUACUCACAUCAUUGGUCUUAUGGGGAAAUUUUAAGACCUCCCACUUGUAAGGUUUUAUAGCCCUCUAUGGAAUAUUGAAGAAAGAGUAAAAUGCAUCCAAAAAAAAAAAAAAACACUAAACUGGAUAAAUUCUAAGGCCUCUUCAGGUCUUAAGAUGGCCAUUUUCUAGGUCCUCUUGCUGCAGCAGUGAAAUCCACAAACACGGACAAGUCAGUCAGUUACGUGCCUUUCAGAGAAAACUUCUGACUUAGGAAUUCCAGCUAUUUGGCCCAACCCAUAUUAGAUUGUGUUAUAAAGACAUGGUAAAUUACAUCACGAAGGGAAGAGCAGAGGAAACAUAAUAUUCCUUCAAGACCCAUCAGCUCAGAUGUUAGCAGAACACCCCUAAGGAGGAAAACAAGAAAUUUUGGGUUUGAACUUGGUACUUCCCAGCAGCCCUGGGAGUGGGGUCAGAAGCCCUGCUGGGGGCCAAAGAACUCUGAGGAUCAAAGAUGUUGAGCAUCACCUUAGAGGCCAAAGAUCAGAACAGUGGAGGUGGCCUUUGAAGCCCAACCUGUCUUUCACCAGAGAGUGAGAACGGCCUCUAUUUCCAGGAAGCUCACUGCAGCAAUAAUCAUGAUGCUCUGAGCCUGACAAGCAAAAGAAAACUUCUUUAGGAGGAUAAAAGGGAGAUGAAGAAACAGAAAACACAUCAGCUCUCCAUCCAGAUUACAGAAAGCAGAAAACAUCCUGAAGUGAAUAACAUAGGAAUCGCUCUUUUGAUAUUUACUGAAUAACUAGAAGAUGCUAGAUGUUAUUCUAUUCAUUUUAUACCACUCUUCAAAUUACGGAUGCUGGCUUUGGGGAAGUAAAGGAAACCAGAGAAGAAGAGGCUGAAAGAAUUGGUUUCCACCGUGACCUUUGAACCCUCGGGCGAGUUGUCAGCCUCACUGAGGAUGAGUGUACUCCAUAUCAAGUGAGGUCACUUUACUCGCAAGCUUGUUGUGAGGACUGAAUGAAACCUUUUCUUUUUUCUUGGAGUUUCAGAGCAACGUCCCUGAGCCCAGCCCCACACUGGCUUGAGCCCUGUCGUCGGUCAAGACACGGUGCUUUCUCCCCUCCCCUCUGCACUCCAGCUUACUCUGCAGUCAGGAGGUGGCACCACGAUCCCCUUUAAGACUUUGCCACUUGGGCCAGCUGCGCCCCUGUGAAAUUCCCUGUUUCUAUUGCAGGCCACAAGGACGAGCUGAGAAAUGGCUUCCAGUCACCAUCUAGAUUAGAAAGCCUAUAUUUCAAAUAUAGAUAUAUCAAUUAUGCCUGUAAAAAGACAUUAAAUCCCACAGGGCUGUAAUUCCUAGACUCUACGAAUUUCAUCUUGCACCAAAUUUUAUUAUUUCAUUUAUAAUUCGGAUUCUUCAAAUCUAAGAGUGCCUGGCUCAAAAUUAAAAUACCUACAACUAUGCCAAAACUGGACUCUUUAAUUGCCUUACUGGAACCAGUAGCUGAUUCAAAGCAAAACGAAACAAAAUUCCUCCUUUCUCUGAUUUAGUGAAUCAAUGAUCUAACUGAACUCAUUUUUGGACUGAGUUUGCGGCACUUGCAGCCCUGAGGGACACAUUCCCCCACCACACUGAGCCUGCACUCCCAUCAAUGCAAAUGAACAUUUUGCUUAUUCAGAUUGGGGGGGUGAAGGAAGUCACAAAAGGGUUAAUACAUAUGGCAUUUCAUUGUAAUAUGUACUCACUACUAACUAAAUUAAAAGAGAUGUGAGUUAUUAAAAACUCCAUCUUAAGAAAGUAACAGAAAUCAGAGUUCAGAUUCGUUGUUACUGAGUUUCCAACCAACACCUGUGAGUUAAACCUACGGCCACCCUGAAAACGGUUCAUAUUUUCAAAAGCUUCAUCGAAGAUGAGCUGCACUAAAGAUUCAUAUUACAUAUCAUGCUGCAAUAAGAAAAUCAAAUAAGGCCUUUCCAUAUUCAAUAAUAAAGUUUAAAGAAAAGUAAUAUUUGUUUAGCCAGUUAGCCAGAAAUUAGAUGUAUCAGAAUACAUCAUUCUUUGAGCAUUUUAGAAAAAUCAGGGUAUUUCUACAUUGUGUUUUUCUUUGUAAGCCCUCAAAAAAUAUAGAGAAUAUUCUUGAA